GUUAAAUUUUCAGGGAUGGUGUUAAAUACACAGUGUUGAUGCUGUUUUAACACUAUCUGGUAAUAAAAUAACACUGCCAUUGCUAGGCCAGUGUUAUAUUCACGGCAGUGUCAGUGUAAAACAAGGGUGUUAUCAGAUUUCACUCUGAGCGGUGUAAAUCAAGCCACGCCUCCACUAAACAUAUCCUGUCAGGGAUUUUACCGCCAUUUUCUUUCACAGGAGGACUGAAGAGAGCAGAUGCUAGUUUGGUGAAAGUUCACACUGAGUGCUUCAAAUCAUUCAGAAGAGAUGCUGUUUUUAGGGCAGUUUAUUAAAGAAGACCUGACAUGGAUGACUUCCAAUGAGAAACGACUGCUAAUACUUAUAUAAAUUCAUUACAGAAGGACCCUACCAGACUAUAUUUGAAUACGGCAUACCCAUGAAUUCUGGAACUGUUAUUCCUUAACCCAGUUUGGAGGAUAAGAGCUACCCAACUAGUUAUAAAUAUGCUGAGGUGAUGUAUUGCAAAAUAGCCAACAUACAACAAUAUGGAUGACCCUCUGUCUGGUCAACAGGAGUUUAAAUAUGGACGGGACAGUGAUGUGGCAGCUCUUCCCUGGCUCAUUCACCUCUUGCCUUCAUUUGUGAAAGGAAGAAAGACUGGAGAGGGUCAAUGUGCAACUGAAGCUACUGAUUGUGCUGUGUGAUGAGCAUCAAUCCAUGCUUUGAGGGGGAUGAAUCAGCACAGCCCUGCCUGCACUGAGUUGGGAACAGAAGUUGCAUCCAGAAUUUUUGCAUCAUUCUGGACCAAAAAGCCAUUCCCUCCAUGAUGAAGACCACUGAUGCAGCCUUCCACUACAUCAUGAGUAAAACAACUACAAAACUAAAUACCAGGUUGGAACCUAUUUAAGAAAAAUGAAACGUCUUUUGAAUUGAAAUGUCUGUUUUGUUAUGGAAAAAUCUUUAGUAUUGUGAAGGAUAAGCAUUUCUGCCUGCCAGUAAGGUAAUUGCAGUGUAUUUUAAUGUUCAAGUUUUGAGUAGGGUGGCUAAUUUUUUUUAAACUCUCAUUUGAUAUAUUAAAGACCUUAUAAUAAGUGGUUUUCAUGUCACUGCGCUGUGGUAUAAUAACUUUCAUUAUUCCAUACUGUAUUCUGUUUCUAAUUGUA